rnacentral:rRNA from 1 species
GACGAACGCUGGCGGCGUGCUUAACACAUGCAAGUCGAACGGAAAGGCCCUGCUUUUGUGGGGUGCUCGAGUGGCGAACGGGUGAGUAACACGUGAGUAACCUGCCCUUGACUUUGGGAUAACUUCAGGAAACUGGGGCUAAUACCGGAUAGGAGCUCCUGCUGCAUGGUGGGGGUUGGAAAGUUUCGGCGGUUGGGGAUGGACUCGCGGCUUAUCAGCUUGUUGGUGGGGUAGUGGCUUACCAAGGCUUUGACGGGUAGCCGGCCUGAGAGGGUGACCGGCCACAAUGGGACUGAGAUACGGCCCAGACUCCUACAGGAGGCAGCAGUGGGGAAUAUUGCACAAUGGGCGGAAGCCUGAUGCAGCAACGCCGCGUGCGGGAUGACGGCCUUCGGGUUGUAAACCGCUUUCGCCUGUGACGAAGCGUGAGUGACGGUAAUGGGUAAAGAAGCACCGGCUAACUACGUG